rnacentral:lncRNA from 1 species
CCCCCCAAACCUAGACAGCAGGGCCUGGUGAACCCCUGGGGUGCCUUUCAGGGGGCGCACAGGCAGCUCUCAGUGAGGGGCCAUGCUGGGUGCUGCCACUCGGGAAAGAGGGCAAGGUGAGGGGUAACCCAGAGCCCUGCCUUGAGUCACCCACCUCCUCCAUCUGAGGCCUGCACACCUCACUUCAGGGGCCUGGGAAGAGGCCCACCUGGGGGAAGGUGCGUUCCCUGCCUGGCCUCCCUCACCUUCUCUUGAAAAGAGCGUUGAGGUCUUCUUUCAGUUCUUUCUAGAGAAAGUGGGUCAGGGCCUGACUUUGCCAGAUGAUUGCCAUGAGAUUUGAGCUUUCCUGACUCAGUUUCCUCCUUCUGAACAGUGGAGGUGGCCUGGGUGGGUGUGGACAGUAAGGGCACUCGGGGUCUCUUUCUCACAGACCAGCCCCCUCCCAGAAUCCCAGGACCCCUUCCUCCCAGCCUGGUGUGAGGGGCCGAGUUCUCGACAUCCCCCAGCUGAUCCUGGACGGGGGCUCCUCUAGUCUGGACUUGGGUACCCCCACUUCCCACUGCUCCUUCCAGCCUGCCCUCUCUCCACGGUGCUGGAGGUGAAAGAGUUAAUCACAUCUGUGGUGGCUCCUUCCUGGACUCCUCCAAGAUAUAUAUUUAGCAGGCGGGGCGGGGUAGGGCAGGAAGGGCAUGCCAAAAUGCCCUGGCACCGCAGCCCCUGCCUUACCACACUGCUCUUCAGAGGGAGGGGUGCGCAGGCAGUGCCACGGGAGCCGGGUAGGAUGGAGGAGGGGACCUAUCUAAAUGGAGGGAAGGGGCAGGUGAAUGGAUCAGCUCAGUUAGACCCAAGAGAGCCUCCUGCUUGUCCUAGACCUCAUUUUCCCGACCCAGUGGCAUUCCAGCCACACCUGCUAAGGCCUUGGGUACCUGCACACCAGAGUAGCAGCUCCUCCAGCCGGCAGAGAAAGACUUCAUUUGCCACAGUCAGCAGCAGCCCACUCGGGAAGCAACCCAGGGUCCGCUUGCCACCCAGCCAUGCCAGCUGA